GCAUGGUUUCCUAUUAUGCAUAAGAAAAAGAUCGUUGUCUUUAAGCUGUUUCCUUACUGACUCCAUAAAGUCAGCUCUGUUGCACCGUGUGCUCCAGCACUUCACUGCGCAGAGGGACGGGAAGCAAGAGGGGAAGAAGAGGGCUGAAGCAUGAACAAGGCAGAAUUCAUCACUGCUGCAGGAUUUGCCAUAUCUUUGCUGUUCUGCAUGACCCAAACUGAAGCAUGCCCUCCUUCCUGCAGCUGUAAGGCACUGGGAGAAAGGAAGGGUUUGCAGAUAGACUGCAGUUCAAGGAAGCUGAAGGAAGUGCCUGCCUUGCCCGUUAACACCAAGAGGCUUUAUCUGCAGAAUAACAGCCUGAGCACGGUUCCUCCCGGGGCCUUGGACAGCUUGCUCAGUGUGGAGGAAGUAAAACUGUUUGACAAUCCUUGGACCUGUGACUGUCAUAUCCUGUAUCUAAAACUCUGGUUAGAAGACAUCUCUGAAGCCGCUCUUGCAAACAUCAGAUGUGCAACUCCUGCUCCGGUGAGGAUGAAGCCCUUGAAGCAGCUGACUGGGAACGAGCUGGGGACCUGCAAGAGGUCUCUCCCAACCAAAUGCCUUGAGUUCUUUUGGAAAGACUUAAUUUUAAUUGCAAUAGCAAUAGUUACAUUUAUUUUAGUAGCAUGGGCUCUGAAAUUCUCAAAAAAGGUGGUCUACCAAAUAAACCUACGUCGGUACACCACCAGGGGCCUUCUGUUGUGGAGGCACGCCUCCAAAAACCACAAGCUACACUGAGCUCUUCACUACCACCAGCUUGAACAGAAACAUCAAACCAUGCUACCACGGAAAAAGUACAGGCACUGGCAACACAAGCUGUAGUGGUAAGCGUGCUACAGAUAGAUCCCAGGACACAAAAUCUUGUUCCUCUGAUAGGCAAGUUUGGUUUAAUUUCCUUUCAGAAAUAAGUUUGGUGAUUUAGUGGCCUUGGUUGGGUCACACGUGUGCAGACAAAUUCAGCUCUCCCUUCCUGGAGUUUCCCACCCGCAGAAUCCCUGUGUGUAGGCCAGCCACUGAGUGUACCCCCACUGAAAGUGUCUACAGACAGACAGUAAUGAGAAAGCAACCAAUAAAAAUAAUUUUAAAUAUUGUUGAAUUUCCUAGAGUGAAAAAUUAAAAAGAAAAAAAGAAUCUACAUGAAAUUGAAAUAAAGGAUGUGUUUUUGAACAUUCA